AUCGAAGAUUUGUGUGCCUAUAUUUGCCGCUCUGGGAAUUAGCUAAUUGAGAAAAACAGACUAAACUAAAAAUAAUAUUUCCUUAUUGUUAUUAUUUAAUAGUAGUUAAUAGUAGUUAAUAAUAAUUUUCACACAUGCCAUUCUUUUUAUGCAAGAUAACCUAAAUGGGUUUAUUAGAGACGUUUGUAUAAAAUGGGUACAAACAGAACAGUUUAAAAUACUCUCUUUUUUUCUUGAAGAUAGAUUGUUAGGACAUUUAUUACAUGUAAGUUAACAUGGCAACACUGUAAAAUAAAUUAGUUCUUCAUCUCUCUGAAGGGCCAUUUUGUUAAAAAUUCAUGAGCUGACUGUUUUCUGUGGCAUACAGAUUUCUGACUAUUGCACCGCCCAGUAAAAGUUACUGGCUAGCACUUUCUUUAAACUCUUCAGAGCGCAUCACUUUAUCUUAGGCACUGGAAAGAAGAAUCAUGCUACUUACACAUUUUACAAUCUUUAUUUUGAUGUGUGGAUUUUAUUCCCGAUUUCAUGCUAUCGCACAUGCACAAAUUCAAACAGUUCAGACCCAAAAAGAAGUUCAGCGUGGAUCUGACGUGUCUUUGCGAUGUGAUGUCCGUCUUCUGUCUAAAUCCUCCACAUUGAACUGGGAGAAAGAUGGAGAACACACACCCAACAGCACUCUGAUGUACAACAACUCUGCCUACAUCAUCUUACACACCGUUGAUGAACGCAAUAAAGGGAAUUAUUACUGUAGAUUGAUGGAAGAUGGAAGCGUACAAACUGUUAGGAUUCACACACUUAAUGUUACUUCAAAUUUAUAUGGAAGUCAAACCAUUUACAGACAAAGCCCCUUUCACAUCUCACCUGUGAACUUCAAUUAUAGUGGGACAUACAGGUGUAUUACUGAAAACACAAUCUACACAACCACAAUACCAUGCACCAUUAGAGUGGAGCCCCCUGAUGGUGUGUUGAGGAGUCAGUCAGUGGUUCUUACCUGUGAGGUAUCUGAAGUAACUGAUUCAGUGACGCUGGUCUGGUUUAGGAUGGAGGGGAACAGAGGAGUGCUGGUCAAACAGCAAAAUUAUGACUGAGAAAAACAACAUGUUACGUCUCACAGUGAAUCUAGCCAGCUAUGAAACAGACCCGCUGCACUGGCAGUGUGCAGUUUUUACUGAGAAUACACUCAGAGCUCUGGCCCCUAUAACAAUCAGUUGUAACUCAUCAGAAAACUCAACUGUAACAAACCAAGUAAACAACAAUCAUGCAAACACACUAUUUUGGUGUGUUUUGACUCUAUUUACUGGGAUUCUCCUUGGAGCUCUAAUGUAUAACUGCUACAGGAAACGAAAGUCAGUGCAGUCUGGCCCUCAGGAGUCUGAACCAGUCUAUAUCAAUAGCAGCCAAAUGAGGAAUGAUAGAGGUAUUUAAAUCAACAAAAUAUUUUUCAUAGCAUCGGUAUAGAAACCUUCAGGCAACCCUAGCAUCAUGUUGACUAUUGUUCACAAGCUUUCCAAAAAAUUUGUUGAUCUAUUAUUCUUCAUCCUCUUCCAGUAGGAAAUUUAAUAUAAAUGAUGUGUUUAUUAGGUUUUGGUCCAUCUCCAUUCAAGUAGGUAUAGUGCUUUACUCAAUAGAAACUAAAAUAGCACAUUUAUAUUGCACAUUAACCUCUGUGUUCUUUACAAUGAGAAAUCUAUGUUAAAAAUAUGAUUAUGAUUAAUUUCCAGGAGAUGACAGCUGGUUUAAAACCAGUCAUGCAAGUUCAGAGGUGUUGGACAGCAGUACUACAGUCAUCUACUAUCAACUACUGAAGCACAGUGAGCCUUGACACUGGACAUUCUUGUACAAAACUUUGUAUUACUUUUAUUAUUAUUAUUAUUAUUAUAAUUAUUGAAUGUAGUUAAAAAGAGCAAAUAAAUCUUGUAUUAAUAAUAGCGAGCUAGUCAAUCUUGGUUUGCUUUUUUUGGUAUAUGAAUGAAAAUUUUGCUCUUUGCUCAAGUGCAUUAUUGGAGUGCUCAGUCUGUAAGCAAAGGGUCUUUGGGUUUCACUUGAAUAGGAAACACAAAUGCAUCACCAGCACUAUCUCUGAGUAUAAUCAGAUCAAUAUGCUCACAGAAAUAAACCUCAAUGUGGUUUCAUGACACACAACUGAGUUAAAUGUAGCACAGUAUUUCCUGUUAUGGAAAAAAAAACUAAGAUGAUUUAGCCUUGCAAAAACAUUUCAAGUAAGAAUGAAAAAAUAAAUAUAUUUUAAUUGCAAGCAUUUAAAAACCAUGAGAUAUUCAUGAAAAAAAAAUAAUAAUGACAU